rnacentral:rRNA from 1 species
AGAGUUUGAUCAUGGCUCAGGAUGAACGCUAGCGGUGCGCCUAACACAUGCAAGUCGAGCGCCCCCACUUAGCCUUUGAUUAGUUCAAGGGCUGUGUGGGGGAGCGGCGAACGGGUGAGUAACACGUUGGUACCUGCCCCGAACUCAGGGAUAGCCCGCCGAAAGGCGGAUUAAUACCGGAUAGUCCCGAAAGGGUAAAGAUUUUUCGGUUCGGGAGGGGCCUGCGGCCUAUCAGCUAGUUGGUAGUGUAAUAGACUACCAAGGCUAUGACGGGUAUCUGGUGUGAGAGCAUGACCAGACACAAUGGAACUGAGACACGGUCCAUACUCCUACGGGAGGCAGCAGUGAGGAAUCUUCCGCAAUGGGCGAAAGCCUGACGGAGCGACACCGCGUGAAGGAUGAAGGCCUUUUGGUUGUAAACUUCUUUUCUGGGGGAAUAAAUGAUGAAGGUACCCCAGGAAUAAGCACCGGCUAACUACGUGCCAGCAGCCGCGGUAAUACGUAGGGUGCAAGCGUUAUCCGGAAUUAUUGGGCGUAAAGCGUUCGUAGGUGGUUUGGAAAGUUUGUGGUUAAAGCUGGUCGCUCAACGAUCAAAUCGCCACGAAAACUCCCAAACUUGAGAAUAGCAGGGGCAACUGGAAUUCCACAUGUAGGGGUAAAAUCCGUUGAUAUGUGGAGGAACACCAAAAGCGAAGGCAGGUUGCUGGGCUAUUUCUGACACUGAGGAACGAAAGCGUGGGGAGCAAACAGGAUUAGAUACCCUAGUAGUCC